rnacentral:lncRNA from 1 species
AGAGCUUAGGACAAUUAUUUAGGUGGGGUACACCAUAGAACCUUCUAGAAGGAAUUUAAGGUGGUUAUCUAAGUUGGGCCCAUUAUCUAAGAUCAUUUUAGAAAAUCUAGGGUGGUAGAACAAAGUAUAAAUAGGACUAACUUGGGCCUUCUAGGCAUUUGGUCAAGUAUGGCUUUAGACCUUCUCUCUUAAUAAAGUUUGAUUUUGCAUCUUCCUAUUCAGUUUUGUUU